AAGUCGUAACAAGGUUUCCGUAGGUGAACCUGCGGAAGGAUCAUUGUCGAACCCUGCACAGCAGAACGACCCGAGAACAAGUAAAAACAUCUGGCCGAGCGGGGAUCGAAGCUUACGUUUUGAGCCUUGUGAGGCCUUGUUGGCGUGUGUUUGUGCUUGCACCAUACAUGUGGGGCAUCAUGGAUUUCACGUUGACACACUAACAAACCCCCGGCACGGUACGUGCCAAGGAAAACUAAACUUAAAGGGCCCGUGCUACUGCGCCCCGCUCGCGGUGUGCGCUUUGUACGUGGCAUCUUUCUAAACUAAUAACGACUCUCGGCAACGGAUAUCUCGGCUCACGCAUCGAUGAAGAACGUAGCAAAAUGCGAUACUUGGUGUGAAUUGCAGAAUCCCGUGAACCAUCGAGUUUUUGAACGCAAGUUGCGCCCGAAGCCUUCCGGUUGAGGGCACGUCUGCCUGGGCGUCACGCAUCACGUCGCCCCCACCACGCCUCCCUUCUAGGGACGUCUUUGGUUGGGGCGGAGAUUGGUCUCCCGUGCCCAUGGCGUGGUUGGCCUAAAUAGGAGUCUCCCUAAGAGGGACGCACGACUAGUGGUGGUUGAUAACACAGUCGUCUCGUGUCGUGCGUUUUCAUUCUUGGGUGUAGAUGCUCUUAAAAUACCCUGACGCGUUGUCUUGCGACAGUGCUUCGAUCGCGACCCCAGGUCAGGCGGGACU
rnacentral:rRNA from 1 species